UCGAGAAUUUUUCACAAUGGGGGAAACCCUGAUGGAGCGACGCCGCGUGGGGGAUGAAUGGCUUCGGCCCGUAAACCCCUGUCAUUCGCGAACAAAUUGGUUCACUUAAUACCUGAACCAUUGAUAGUAGCGGAAGAGGAAGGGACGGCUAACUCUGUGCCAGCAGCCGCGGUAAUACAGAGGUCCCAAGCGUUGUUCGGAUUCACUGGGCGUAAAGGGUGCGUAGGCGGUUUGAUAAGUCUGAUGUGAAAUCCCGCAGCUUAACUACGGAACUGCAUUGGAAACUAUUUGACUAGAGGAAUGGAGGGGAGACUGGAAUACUUGGUGUAGCAGUGAAAUGCGUAGAUAUCAAGUGGAACACCAGUGGCGAAGGCGAGUCUCUGGACAUUUCCUGACGCUGAGGCACGAAAGCCAGGGGAGCAAACGGGAUUAGAUACCCCUGUAGUCC
rnacentral:rRNA from 1 species